rnacentral:rRNA from 1 species
AUGGCAUUGGUUCUUCGAUUCCCGAGCAUCGAGGGGUUCAUACAUGAUCGUUUUCUUGAUGUAAUUCAUGUCACUGACACUACUGCUUUGACUCUCAAGAAGGCAACUUGCAAAGUCCUUUCUAAUAAUAAUUUGAAUGUCCAAGACAUUAGAGGACAAGGCUAUGACGGGGCAAGUAAUAUGAGAGGUGAAUGGAAUGGAUUGAAGGCUCUAAUUCUGAAUGACUACCCUUAUGCAUAUUAUGUGCAUUGCAUGGCUCAUCAGUUACAGUUCGCGCUUGUUGAUGCGUCAAGGGAGGUACAUGAUGUGCAUAACUUUUUCCAAAAUGCAAAUUUCAUUAUAAAUGUUGUUAGCGCAUCGACUAAACGUAAUAAUGAGUUGUUAGCAAAUAAAGAAGGGCAAAAUCAGAUAGGAACUUUACAAAGACCUGGCGACACUAGAUGGAGUUCCCACUUCAAGUCAAUUCAGAGUUUACAGAAGAUGUUUGGCGCUGCAGUUGAGGUCCUAAGGAGUAUAGCAAAUGACCGUGCAGCCUCGAAAUAUUCUAGAGGAGAUACCGUAGGAGCCCUAAAAAUAAUUAUGUCAUUUGAUUUUGUGUUCAUUUUACAUCUAAUGGAGAAAAUCAUGAAAAUCACUAAUGUUUUAUGUCAAACACUCCAAAAGAAGUCACUAGAUAUUCUGAAUGCAUUAGAUUUGGUCUCAACCACAAAGGUGCUACUUGGUAAGCUGAGAGAAGAUGGUUGGGAUCCCCUUCUUCAAGAGGUUCAAUCUUUUUGUUUGAAGCAUGAGAUUGACAUCCCUGAUCUGAAUAGCAGGUAA